AAUGCAAAUGCAAAUGCAAAAAAAACGGAAUCCCGUAACUUAUCACCUACCUUGUUAUUAAGAAUUUGAUUUUAUGACUAUAUAAGUAAAUUUCAAAAUAUUACAAUAUAUAGGUAUCAAACAGUGACAUCUCGAAAUUGUGGACUUUUUGGGAACAGGAACUUUAACCUCCUAGUAUAAUAUUACACACCAGUGCCAGGGAGAA